CCUACGGGGGGCUGCAGUAGGGAAUAUUGCUAAAUGGGCGAAAGCCUGAAGCAGCAACGCCGCGUGAACGAAGAAGGCCUUCGGGUCGUAAAGUUCUUUUACGUGGGAAGAGGAAGGACAGUACCACGGGAAUAAGUCUCGGCUAACUACGUGCCAGCAGCCGCGGUAAAACGUAGGAGACGAGCGUUAUCCGGAUUUACUGGGCGUAAAGAGCGUGUAGGAGGCAAAACAAGACGGAUGUGAAAGCCCCCGGCUUAACCGGGGGAGGUCGUACGUGACUGUAGAGCUAGAGUGAGUUAGAGGUAAGCGGAACUCCGGGAGUAGUGGUGAAAUGCGUAGAUAUCCGGAAGAACAUCAGAGGCGAAAGCGGCUUACUGGGACUUAACUGACACUGAGACGCGA
rnacentral:rRNA from 1 species